CAGAAUGAGGAAGAAACAUCACAGACCUGUACCGAAUUGUACUUGAGGACACUUAUUGCCAAUUCUGACU
rnacentral:snoRNA from 1 species